AAUGUGCAGAAUUUCAGGACCUGGACCUAAGAGACACAAAGAAAAUUAAACUUCCAUGGAACAAAAGACAAAUGCCUGAACUGUCAGACAAAGGAAAUGGAACACUUAUUGGUAUCAUUGUCGGAGUAUGUUUAGCACUUGUCGUAAUAGUUGUUGUCAUAGCCGUUGUCAUCAGGAAAACACGGACCAAUAAUCAAGGUCAGCAGAGUCAGGAAAGAAACAGUCUUCGACAACGGUUU